GAUGAAGAACGCAGCGAAAUGCGAUAAGUAAUGUGAAUUGCAGAAUUCAGUGAAUCAUCGAGUCUUUGAACGCACAUUGCGCCCCCUGGUAUUCCGGGGGGCAUGCCUGUCCGAGCGUCAUUGCCGCCCUCAAGCACGGCUUGUGUGUUGGGCCCCCGCCCCCCGGCUUCGGGGGGCGGGCCCGAAAGGCAGCGGCGGCACCGCGUCCGGUUCUCGAGCGUAUGGGGCUUCGUCACCCGCUCUGUAGGCCCGGCCGGCGCCCGCCGGCGACCCCAAUCAAUCUUUCCAGGUUGACCUCGGAUCAGGUAGGGAUACCCGCUGAACUUAAGCAUAUCAUAAGCGGAGGA
rnacentral:misc_RNA from 1 species